rnacentral:ncRNA from 1 species
UCUAAUCUGUAAACUGAUGCAGCUUCUUGUAGGAAUACAAGUCGAAUAAUUGGAUGAAUUGCUGGAAACCUUAACAUGUAAAGAUGAUGGCAAUCAGCAGCCAAGCCUACGGAGUAGGAAGGUUCAGAGAUCACCUGAGCUUAUGCGAAUAAGCUUAAUAACAGGAAGUAGCACAGUUUAGUCACUGGGUGAAAAAGCGUCCGACUCCCCGAACGGGAGAUGAUAUGAUCCGCACCUAAUGAAAAUUAGGA